CACUUAUGAAAAAUGGAAAAAGUCGCUAAAAAUGGACGAAAUGUUAAGGCUAUAGCCUUACUUUUUUGCUGUUUUUUGGCCACUUAUGAAAAAUGGAAAAAGUCGCUAAAAAUGGACGAAAAGUUAAGGCUAUAGCCUUACUUUUUUGCUAUUUUUUGGCCACUUAUGAAAAAUGGAAAAAGUCGCUAAAAAUGGACGAAAUGUUAAGGCUAUAGCCUUACUUUUUUGCUGUUUUUUGGCCACUUAUGAAAAAUGGAAAAAGUCGCUAAAAAUGGACGAAAAGUUAAGCCUAUAGCCUUACUUUUUUCCUGUUUUUUGGCCGCUUAUGAAAAAUGGAAAAAGUCGCUAAAAAUGGACGAAAAGUUAAGCCUAUAGCCUUACUUUUUUGCUGUUUUUUGGCCACUUAUGAAAAAUGGAAAAAGUCGCUAAAAAUGGACGAAAAGUUAAGCCUAUAGCCUUACUUUUUUGCUGUUUUUUGGCCACUUAUGAAAAAUGGAAAAAGUCGCUAAAAAUGGACGAAAAGUUAAGCCUUAGCCUUACUUUUUUGCUGUUUUUUGGCCACUUAUGAAAAAUGGAAAAAGUCGCUAAAAAUGGACGAAAAGUUAAGGCUGUUUUGCUGUUUUUUGACCACUUAUAAAAAAUGGAAAAAGUCGCUAAAAAUGGACGAAAAGUUAAGCCUAUUAUAGCCUUACUUUUUUGGUGUUUUUUGGCCACUUAUGAAAAAUGGAAAAAGUCGCUAAAAAUGGACGAAAAGUUAAGCCUAUAGCCUUACUUUUUUGCUGUUUUUUGGCCACUUAUGAAAAAUGGAAAAAAUCGCUAAAAAUGGACGAAAAGUUAAGCCUUACUUUUUUGCUGUUUUUUGGCCACUUAUGAAAAAUGAAAAAAGUCGCCACAAAUGGA
rnacentral:lncRNA from 1 species